UGGAGAAAACACUUGCUGUAACUCCUAGCAGAAGCAGACCAUAGACAAUCCCAAACUGCAGGCAGGGAAGCGGGAAGGCAGCUGCACAUCUCCGUCAUGGCUGAGGGCACUGUUAAUUGAAUUUGUGCCAAGUGACACAAAUCCCUUACCUGAUCAGCAACUGACUGGAUGGAGGUGACCGUGAUGAGCUGGCUAUACCUGGGCUGCAGGGCCUGGAGACCGUCCAUCCCUAGGGAGCCACCCAGUUCCUUUCUAAAUCAAGAGGAGAUCUGAGUUUGGUUUCAGUGGGAGCUAGAACAGGCUGCACAUGCAUAGGAAACAUGCUGUUACCUAACAGUAUGUUAUUACAUCAUUUAAUUGCUAGAAAGGUGUACCAUCAACAUAUUCCAGUUGCCUAAUUUUCCUUAAG
rnacentral:lncRNA from 1 species